rnacentral:rRNA from 1 species
AGAGUUUGAUCAUGGCUCAGAACGAACGCUGGCGGCAGGCCUAACACAUGCAAGUCGAACGCUGUAGCAAUACAGAGUGGCAGACGGGUGAGUAACGCGUGGGAACCUUCCCAGUGGUGCGGAAUAGCCCAGGGAAACUUGGGGUAAUACCGCAUAAGCCCUUAGGGGGAAAGAUUUAUCGCCAUUGGAUGGGCCCGCGUCGGAUUAGCUAGUUGGUGAGGUAAUGGCUCACCAAGGCAACGAUCCGUAGCUGGUUUGAGAGAAUGACCAGCCACACUGGGACUGAGACACGGCCCAGACUCCUACGGGAGGCAGCAGUGGGGAAUCUUGGACAAUGGGCGCAAGCCUGAUCCAGCCAUGCCGCGUGAGUGACGAAGGCCUUAGGGUUGUAAAGCUCUUUUGCCGGGGACGAUAAUGACGGUACCCGGAGAAUAAGUCCCGGCUAACUUCGUGCCAGCAGCCGCGGUAAUACGAAGGGGACUAGCGUUGUUCGGAAUUACUGGGCGUAAAGCGCACGUAGGCGGAUUUGUAAGUCAGGGGUGAAAUCCCGGGGCUCAACCUCGGAACUGCCUUUGAUACUGCGAGUCUCGAGUCCGAUAGAGGUGGGUGGAAUUCCUAGUGUAGAGGUGAAAUUCGUAGAUAUUAGGAAGAACACCGGUGGCGAAGGCGGCCCACUGGAUCGGUACUGACGCUGAGGUGC